rnacentral:rRNA from 1 species
GUAGGUGGCAAGCGUUGUCCGGAAUUAUUGGGCGUAAAGCGCGCGCAGGCGGUUCUUUAAGUCUGAUGUGAAAGCCCACGGCUCAACCGUGGAGGGUCAUUGGAAACUGGAGAACUUGAGUACAGAAGAGGAAAGCGGAAUUCCACGUGUAGCGGUGAAAUGCGUAGAGAUGUGGAGGAACACCAGUGGCGAAGGCGGCUUUCUGGUCUGUAACUGACGCUGAGGCGCGAAAGCGUGGGGAGCAAACAGGAUUAGAUACCCUGGUAGUCCACGCCGUAAACGAUGAGUGCUAAGUGUUAGGGGGUUUCCGCCCCCCUUAGUGCUGCAGCUAACGCGUUAAGCACUCCGCCUGGGGAUACGGCCGCAAGGCUG